CCUACGGGAGGCAGCAGUGAGGAAUAUUGGUCAAUGGGCGCGAGCCUGAACCAGCCAAGCAGCGUGAAGGAUGAAUGUCCUACGGGUUGUAAACUUCUUUUAUAAAGGAAUAAAGUGAGGCUCGUGUGCCUUUUUGUAUGUACUUUACGAAUAAGGAUCGGCUAACUCCGUGCCAGCAGCCGCGGUAAUACGGAGGAUCCGAGCGUUAUCCGGAUUUAUUGGGUUUAAAGGGAGCGUAGAUGGGUUGUUAAGUCAGUUGUGAAAGUUUGCGGCUCAACCGUAAAAUUGCAAUUGAUACUGGCAGACUUGAGUACAGUUGAGGUAGGCGGAAUUCGUGGUGUAGCAGUGAAAUGCUUAGAUAUCACGAAGAACACCGAUUGCGAAGGCAGCUUACUAAACUGCCACUGACAUUGAGGCUCGAAAGUGUGGGUAUCAAACAGGAUUAGAUACCCCAGUAGUC
rnacentral:rRNA from 1 species